UGCCAGUGCUUGACACUCAUGUUGCAGAGG
rnacentral:piRNA from 1 species